UACGUAGGCAGCGAGCGUUGUUCGGAAUUACUGGGCGUAAAGAGUGUGUAGGCGGUGCUCUAAGUUCGGUGUGAAAUCUCCCGGCUUAACUGGGAGGGUGCGCCGGAAACUGGAGUGCUCGAGCGUGGGAGAGGAAAGCGGAAGUUCCUGGUGUAGCGGUGAAAUGCGUAGAUAUCAGGAGGAACACCGGUGGCGAAGGCGGUUCUCUGGGCCUUACCUGACGCUGGAGGAGCGGAAAGCAUCGGGGAGCAAACGGG
rnacentral:rRNA from 1 species